rnacentral:rRNA from 1 species
GAUGAACGCUAGCGGCAGGCCUAAUACAUGCAAGUCGAACGGGUGGUCGCAAGACCACUAGUGGCGCACGGGUGCGUAACGCGUAACCAACCUGCCCCGAUCUGGGGGAUAGCCCGCCGAAAGGCGGAUUAAUACCGCAUAUACCCGCAGCCUGGCAUCAGGCAACGGGGAAAGAUUUAUUGGAUCGGGAUGGGGUUGCGUGACAUUAGCUAGUUGGCGGGGUAAGGGCCCACCAAGGCGACGAUGUCUAGGGGACCUGAGAGGGUGAUCCCCCACACUGGAACUGCGAUACGGGCCAGACUCCUACGGGAGGCAGCAGUAGGGAAUAUUGGGCAAUGGGCGAGAGCCUGACCCAGCCAUGCCGCGUGCCGGAUGAAGGCCUUCUGGGUUGUAAACGGCUUUUCUCAGGGAAGAAAAAGACCUUGCGAGGUACACUGACGGUACCUGAGGAAUAAGCACCGGCUAACUCCGUG